rnacentral:rRNA from 1 species
AUUGAAUGCUGGCGGCAUGCCUUACGCAUGCAAGUCGAACGGCAGCACGGGGCAACCUGGUGGCGAGUGGCGAACGGGUGAGUAAUGCAUCGGAACGUACCUUUCAGUGGGGGAUAACGUAGCGAAAGUUACGCUAAUACCGCAUAUUCUGUGAGCAGGAAAGCAGGGGAUCGCAAGACCUUGCGCUGAUUGAGCGGCCGAUAUCAGAUUAGCUAGUUGGGGAGGUAAAGGCUCACCAAGGCGACGAUCUGUAGCGGGUCUGAGAGGAUGAUCCGCCACACUGGAACGGAGACACGGUCCAGACUCCUACGGGAGGCAGCAGUGGGGAAUUUUGGACAAUGGGGGCAACCCUGGUCCAGCCAUGCCGCGUGAGUGAAGAAGGCCUUCGGGUUGUAAAGCUCUUUCGGCCGGGAAGAAAUCGCACGGGCUAAUACCCUGUGUGGAUGACGGUACCGGAAUAAGAAGCACCGGCUAACUACGUGCCAGCCGCCGCCGUAAAAC